CACUUGAAGCACAGAAACAUGCUACAUUCUAUGAAGCAGAACCACAUGCUUUUGUAGGAUGUAAUGAAAAAUUUUACCUUCUUUGCAGCACAACAGCUUUUGCACUGUCUCCCCUUCCUUUUGAUGCUCACCAUCACUACUGAGAGUACAGCCUUGCAAGACACUGGAAGUACUGACUCAGGAGCUUGGAUGGUGCCAUAAAGUUAAUGUAACCAAACACUUCUGUCGUCUCAGUAAUGCUUCCAUCUUGCUAUCAGACCCAGAUCCUGAAAGAUCCUAGUGAGAAAUUACUCUUCAUUUUACAAGUGCCUCCUCUGCUGUCCCUGCAACAUGCCUGGCAGAGCCUUUUGAGCUUUAAGGUGACACUCAGUGUAAUGGUUGUGGAAAGUUAAGCACCGUUUCAACAACAGAAACUAAAAGCAGUCAGAGCAGAAGCAUUCAUUACAUGCACGGAAAAAGCAGACAGUGACUCUCCACUUUAGUCCUUUGUCUUGGAAGUUCAGCAGUGAAUUGGAGAAGCUUUCCACCUGCCUCAGCAUUGUGUGAAGUGUAAUGGAAUUGGGUCAGUUUGUUCACUGAAAUGUUCCUCUAAAAGAUACUGGCAUAGAUUCACCUUGGGGCUGACUGUGGUUUCUUUGAAUCAGUUACUGCAAAUUGAGCAGUUGUAAGAGCCAACUCUCUAUGGAGAGCCCAGGGGAUGCACUUUUCCUGCUUAUGACCAGCUGAAACUUCCUGAGCAGAAGGCAGCCAGAGUUUCAGCAGGCAUAAAAUGCAGGUAUAGCUGCUGAAAGGGCAGCCCAUUUCCAGUACGUAGAUAACCCACCCGCUUCUUUCCUAUCUGUGUAUCCAGAUUUGCUUCCGUGGAAGUCUAGGUCAACUGGGGAGAUGGUUGCAGCCUGGUCAUUUUCCAUAUGCAGGACUCUGAUGUACCAGGUCCCUGAGGGUAUGUGGACUUUACCAGUCAAGACACAGACACUCUGACCGAGUGUCAGCCUGCGUGGAUGGACCAGGAGAAAAUACUCCUUUAAUAAACACGUGAAAAAGGUUACUUCUUAUUGCCUGCUCCUUGGCUCUUGACACUGAACUGCAAGGCUCUAGUAUUGAGAAGAGAUGUAAAAAAUUUACUAGAGGGUGAGUGGGUGUUAUUCAGCAACUGCUUGGUACAAAGAAGCAGUACAUUGGAGUCAGCACUGAAAACUGGUGAAGAACACCGACUCUUUCAAACAUGAUUAGAAUCAAUGGUUUCACCAAUUACAUUUUGUGGAGGCAUGUCACCUGAACAUUUUUCGUUGGGUAGAAGCCUCACACUACUUAAAACACUGUGUCCUGAGGCACUCUUUCCUCCAGUAGAACAAUAACUCCCUCUGGUGUUUGCCUGCUGUUGUUACUGCCUCCGCCACAGCCCUGGAAAACCCUGCCAGAGGCAGGAAACCCUGUCAGAUGAUGUAUGAACUACAAACAUUCUUUCCUUAACCGAUGGCAUUUUACGCUUUGGGCAGAAAGGCCACUGCUUCCACCGGGCCGGCCCCAGGGGCACUCAGGUCCGGGAACAUCAUUACAUCGGGAAAAGUGGAAUGCCGAACUCCGCUGCUGCCGAGGGCUCAUGCUGCCAAAGACUCGUUUACAUGCUCC